UACGGGGGGGCAAGCGUUGUUCGGAAUUACUGGGCGUAAAGGGCUCGUAGGCGGCCAACUAAGUCAGACGUGAAAUCCCUCGGCUUAACCGGGGAACUGCGUCUGAUACUGGAUGGCUUGAGAUUGGGAGAGGGAUGCGGAAUUCCAGGUGUAGCGGUGAAAUGCGUAGAUAUCUGGAGGAACACCGGUGGCGAAGGCGGCAUCCUGGACCAACACUGACGCUGAGUGAGCGAAAGCCAGGGGAGCAAACGG
rnacentral:rRNA from 1 species